CUUACCGGGUCCGGACACACUGAGGAUUGACAGGCAAUAUAUGGUUACUUCGGUAGUCAUUGUUAAAUAUGCUAGUCCUUUCAUGAUUAUGUGAUAGGUGGUGCAUGGCCGUUCUUAGUUCGUGGAGUGAUCUGUCUGCUUAAUUGCGUUUCACUUAUUUUAUAGGAUCUAAUAUUAAUGAUGUGUGAGCGACUCGCAUGCUCUUGACCCACACUUGUUUACUCAAGUGGUCCGUGCGUCAUUAUAGGCUUUUGCUUGACCUCCCAUCUUUUAGCUAUCCUUUGAAAGCAACGAACGUGACCGCAACCUCUUGUUGCCUUCGUUUAACAUCCUACUGGCCUUUAUUGCGCUUGGUGGGUAUUGAGGGCUUCACUCAUUCACUUGAGUAAACUAGAGGGACCGCUGUCUACUUCUUAAACCAGAGGAAGGUUGCGGCAAUAACAGGUCUGUGAUGCCCUUAGAUGUUCCGGGCUGCACACGUGCUACAAUGAUUGUGGCAGUGAGCAUCUAUGAGAUUUACUUACAUGAGUUCGUGAAGUGUGCUUCGGCUCACGGAUCGACUCUAAAAGCCUGCUUUGAGAGCAAGUGGGUAAUCAAUUAGAAGUAACGAUUUCUUCGCAUUAGCACACUUAUAUACGGCGUUUAUGCCCGGGUCUCACUUGUUG
rnacentral:rRNA from 1 species